GAUGCAAGCGUUAUCCGGAAUUAUUGGGCGUAAAGCGUCCGCAGGUGGCUUUGUAAGUCUGUCGUUUAAGCGUGGAGCUCAACUCCAUAUCGGCGAUGGAAACUACAAGACUAGAGUUUGGUAGGGGUCACGGGAAUUCCUAGUGUAGCGGUGAAAUGCGUAGAUCUUAGGAAGAACACCAGCGGCGAAAGCGCGUGACUGGGCCAAUACUGAC
rnacentral:rRNA from 1 species